rnacentral:lncRNA from 1 species
CGGGGAAGGCGCCUCGGCGGCUCGCCGCCGCUCGCGGGCGGAUGUGCAGCGGACAGCUUGGCUGGGGGAUUGAAUGAAAGCAGGUCAGUUCAUAAAGCGAGCUGAACUUCCACCUCUUUCUUUGGGGUUUUGUCGAGUCGAGUAACGAAGGCUGUGGAAACGCUGUUGAAGGGCAGAUCGUUCCCCUUGUGCAGGCUGUUAGUGAAAAGAGCGUGCUGCGUUCAUCCAGAUACCUCUGCUGCUGGAGGACCUGCAGGUGCAUCGCUUUUCUUCUAACAGGAGAGCUGAUAUUAUGUGCCCAAGUACUGGACUCUUCUCAGCCCCCGAUCUCUACGAUGAGUGGGAUAGGCUGUGUAUCACUUCAUUUAUGCUGUUUCACACUGACUGGUAAGUUUUCAAAGCAGCAUAAGAAAGGUAGUAUGCUUCCACAAAUAUUACUACUUUUAUAUAGGAUAUUAAUAUUUGUUGCCCCACUAUUUUAACAGUUAAUUCGUUAUAUAAAAGUAUUUUACCACACUUGCUUUUCUUACAUGUUAUGCCCAGGAAUUUGKUUUUUUUCCUCAUUAAAUCCU